rnacentral:rRNA from 1 species
AAUAUUGCACAAUGGGGGAAACCCUGAUGCAGCGACGCCGCGUGAGUGAAGAAGUAUUUCGGGAUGUAAAGCUCUAUCAGCAGGGAAGAAAAUGACGGUACCUGACUAAGAAGCGCCGGCUAACUACGUGACAGCAGCCGCGGUAAUACGUAGCGGGCAAGAGUUAUCCGGAUUUACUGGGUGUAAAGGUAGCGGAGGUGGUUCGGCAAGUCAGAUGUGAAAGACCGAGGCUCAACCCCGGGACUGCAUUUGAAACUGUCGUACUAGAGUGCAGGAGAGGUAAGUGGAAGUCCUAGUGUAGCGGUGAAAUGCGUAGAUAUUAGGAGGAACACCAGUGGCGAAGGCGGCUUACUGGACUGUAACUGACACUGAGGCUCGAAAGCGUGGGGAGCAAACAGG